rnacentral:rRNA from 1 species
UACGGAGGGAGCUAGCGUUGUUCGGAAUUACUGGGCGUAAAGCGCACGUAGGCGGACUCUUAAGUCGGUGGUGAAAUCCUGGAGCUCAACUCCAGAACUGCCUUCGAUACUGAGAGUCUCGAGUCCGAGAGAGGUGAGUGGAACUGCGAGUGUAGAGGUGAAAUUCGUAGAUAUUCGCAAGAACACCAGUGGCGAAGGCGGCUCACUGGCUCGGUACUGACGCUGAGGUGCGAAAGCGUGGGGAGCAAACAGG